UACAGAGGGUGCGAGCGUUUAAUCGGAAUUACUGGGCGUAAAGCGUGCGUAGACGGUUAUUUAAGUCGGAUGUGAAAGCCCCGGGCUCAACCUGGGAAUUGCAUUCGAGACUGAAUAGCUAGGGUGCGGUAGAGGGAAGCGGAAUUUCCGGUGUAGCGGUGAAAUGCGUAGAUAUCGGAAGGAACACCAGUAGCGAAGGCGGCUCGCUGGGCCAUUCCUGACGCUGAGACGCGAAAGCUAGGGGAGCGAACAGG
rnacentral:rRNA from 1 species